GACGAACGCUGGCGGCGUGCUUAACACAUGCAAGUCGAGCGGUAAGGCCCUUCGGGGUACACGAGCGGCGAACGGGUGAGUAACACGUGAGUAAUCUGCCCAUCACUUCGGGAUAACUCCGGGAAACCGGUGCUAAUACCGAAUAUGACCACUUCAGGCAUCUGAUGGUGGUGGAAAGUUCCGGCGGUGAUGGAGGAGCUCGCGGCCUAUCAGCUUGUUGGUGGGGUAGUGGCCUACCAAGGCUUCGACGGGUAGCCGGCCUGGGAGGGUGACCGGCCACACUGGGACUGAGACACGGCCCAGACUCCUACGGGAGGCAGCAGUGGGGAAUAUUGGACAAUGGGCGAAAGCCUGAUCCAGCAACGCCGCGUGAGGGAUGACGGCCUUCGGGUUGUAAACCUCUUUCAGCAGGGACGAAGCGCAAGUGACGGUACCUGCAGAAGAAGCACCGGCCAACUACGUG
rnacentral:rRNA from 1 species